GCCUACGGCCAUGCCCCCCCAAACAUGCCCAAUAUCGUCUGAUCUCAGAAGCUAAGUAGAGUCGGGCCUGCUUAGUACUUGGAUGGGAGACCAUCUAGGAAUAUCAGGUGCUGUAGGCA
rnacentral:rRNA from 1 species